rnacentral:lncRNA from 1 species
CCCAUAGAUGGAAUCUGAGCUGACACAUCCUUCUCCAGAAUGAAAAGAAAUGUGAAAGAAACACGCUGACACGCAGGGGACAUCUUUACAAUAUUAUGAGAGGAAAUCUGCUGCAUGGACUUCACAGCAUUUUGUUAAGGGCUGUUCUGUAGUUUCUGCAUUCUCCAAUGGGAUGGUUACUUUUACUGGCCUGUCUAUGUUACCUCCUCUUGUCUCCAUGGCUAAUAUCAUCAGCCUAGCACUAGCCUAUUGUGACUCUCCGGAACUACUACAGCAGCCCCCUACAUCUGGCCAGAUCCCCUGCAACCCUCCACCUACCCCCAACCUUCCUGCUAGCUCUGAGAGAGAGGGAGCAUUUUUAAGACGCAAAUAUGCUUCCCAUUCUUCAGUGCUCCUUGGACAAAAAACCCAUAAAGCUUUGUUUGAUCUAACUAUUGUCCUAUAUUUCCAGGUUUAUCUCUCCCCUCCCUCACCCAUCCCAAUGCCCAUGGGGACUUGGCUCUCUGAGAUCCAGCUGCACUGACAUUCAUUCAGUGUUUCCAGCUCCACAAACCCUUGCUCAGUCUGGAAUGGGUCCCCCAUCCCUUCAUUAGGAAAGCAGUCCUGACCUCUUUCCCUCCCCAACUGUAUCAAGUCCCCCUAUUUUGAGAUUUCUGGCACCGUGUACCUUUUCUGCCUGAUUCUU